rnacentral:rRNA from 1 species
AUACGGAGGGUGCAAGCGUUAUCCGGAUUUAUUGGGUUUAAAGGGUCCGUAGGCGGAUCUGUAAGUCAGUGGUGAAAUCUCAUAGCUUAACUAUGAAACUGCCAUUGAUACUGCAGGUAUUGAGUAAGGUAGAAGUAGCUGGAAUAAGUAGUGUAGCGGUGAAAUGCAUAGAUAUUACUUAGAACACCAAUUGCGAAGGCAGGUUACUAUGUCUUAACUGACGCUGAUGGACGAAAGCGUGGGGAGCGAACGGGAUUAGAAACCCGAGUAGUCC